rnacentral:miRNA from 1 species
ACCUUAGAGACCAACUAAGUUUGUUAUUGGUAUGAGCUUUUGUGUGCAUGCACACAAGUUCAUAUCAGAUAACAAACUUAGUUGGUCUCUAAGGU